rnacentral:lncRNA from 1 species
GAUUCACCACUCCUGUAUAAAUAAUCAAACCACACAAGUGUUUUCCUGUAUUUUUUUCUGGAAAAAACAUCACAAGCAGCUAUUAGCGUUUUGGUAAGAGAUGAAGCUUUAAUUCCUAAUUCAUAAUAGUCAAAAUUAAAUCAUUUUUAUCUUUUUUUCUCACUAUCUAUGUUAGACUCUCUGCUGCCAUCACUGUUAUGAAAACAUUUGGAAUAUUUUAGCAAAUGCGUGGGCUUGGAAGUAGAUGAGAGGCAGGAAGCUGCACGGUCUGGGCUCAGAUUGGUGAGUUAAGAUUACCUGCUUCAAGCUGUAAGUAUUUGGUGAAUAGUUUCAGUAUGUUAGAACAGUAGCUAUGGAUUAAAUAUAUUCUUGAAAAAAAUUUUUAAUGUUUAUUUUUGAGAGAGAGAGAGAGAGAAUGAGUGGGGGAGGGACAGAGAAAGAGAAAGACAGAAUCCAAAACAGUCUCCAGGCUCUGAGCUGAUAGCACAGAGCCCAACAUGGGGCUCAAACCCACAAACCGUGAGAUCAGGACCUGAGCCGAAGUUGGACGCUUAACAACUGAGCCACCUAGACGCCGCUAAAUGUAUUCUUUGGGUCAACCAGGAAAACUCACCACCUGUGACAUUAUAUUGAAAACAAUAAUUUAGCAAAUAGCUUUGCAAAUAUAAUCUCUUUGAAAACUGGGGUAAAUCUGAGUUGUCUUUAUUUCAGAACAUUAUAGAUAAAAGCUGGAUCAAUAUGAGAAUUUGGGAAGACUUUUCUGGCUAACCUAACCAAUUAAAUCAAUUCCAUCCAGGCAAUAUAAGUAAAGUUGAUUUUCUACUCCUCAGGCAAGUUUUUUGAUGAAAGUGAUUAUUUUAGUAUUUUAUGGUGGGACUGCAGAUGUGGAACUGGACCCUACAAAUUUAAGUCAUUGCCAGUCCAGAUCACUUCAGGUGCCUAGUAAGACUAGUUGCUGUUUUUGUUUGUUUGUUUGUUUUUUAAGGUUUAUUUAUUUAUUCUGAGAGAGAGACAGCAUGAGUUGGGGAGGAGCAGAGAAAGAGGGAGAAAGAGAAUCCCAAGCAAGCUCUGAUACAGGGCUCAAACCCACAAACUGUGAGAUAUGACCUCAGCCGAAACCAAGAGUUGGAUGCUUAACUAACUGAGCCACCCAGGCACCCCAGGACUAGUUUCUUAAUGUUGGUCGUCCUGGCUGUCAUUGUAUAAAGAAGCUUCUGAGGAAGUGAAGGCUUGUCCUUCGUCAGAGAUAGGUGUAGUUGCCGCCUUGUAGAAUGGAGGUUUAAUUGAAUCACCUGCGGGCUUCAGACUCUGUUUAAAUACGUGGAUGAAACAAGAAAGAUGAUGCCUGACAAAGACGAGUGGCUUUGUUAAUUAAAUUAGCAGUGGAAAAUUUACAAGCUUUAAUUAGUAUAAAAUAAGCCACAGAAAUAAAGAUAGUGAUUAAAGCAGACUAAUCUGAUUAGAAUCACAAUGUGCGUUGUUACAGGCUAGUUGAUGGUAGAGACUCCCCAGCGGAGUCUGGCCAGAUGCAGGAACCCACUUGGAAGAAAAGGGUACUUUGCACCCAAGCCUGGAGCUGCCUGUUGGAUUGCUAAAUCAUUUGGCGGUGGGGGGGCGAUUAUGCCAGAAAAACACUGUGAGAAGCGUGGGCACUGGUGAAUUGAUAAAAGCCUUCUUUCUGGGAGAAAGCCUAUAAAAUCCAUGACCACCUGCAGUGAAGGGAGCUAAAAUUAAACUUCAGAACCCUCACUAGCUGAGCAAGAUUUCACCCCGCCUCUCAAAACUUCAAACUUAUGAAAAGUCUGGAGAGUCAGAAGGUGGUUAAGUUGUCCAUACUUUCUUAGUUCACACCCACACAAUGAAAGCAGUGUCCAUUCGAGACAUUUAGACAAAGAAUAUCCAAGUAUCCUGUGUGUUGAGAGAAAUGUUAAAUUCAAUGCAGUACAAAUCACAACAUUAAAUUACCAUGUAAAUCCUCUCCAAUGUUCAGUUUCUUGAUCUAACUUCUAUCAAAUUAAUUUUAGUUUAUGAGUGUAGGUAGAUGGAAACUGUCCAUUUCCCUUCCAGCAAUUCCCAGUUCUCCCCCUAUUUUCUGGUUUGUAAAGCUUCCAAUCACCUCAAAGCCGAAUGCUAAAACAGGUCACGUGUCUCCAUUAUUUUCUAUGUGCAUAUGCGGCAUCGUGCAUGAGGCUCUCGUAAUAUUUAGUCAUGCACCAACAGAAACCGUGACAGAACUUCACUUUUCAAACAAAUCAUAACCAAAGUUUUUAGAAGAUAUUCAAUUAUAUAUUAAAUAAAAUGGCCUGGUUUAUAUUGACUUAGGCUUCUAAUAUUUGGUAUCAACUAUUGUAAAUGUUUAUUCCUUCAGUAUGGGUUUAUUACAAGAAUAGAUUUUCCUUCGGUGUUGCAAAUGCUGAGACAUAAGAAGAAAUUCAUUUUAAGUGGCUCGUCUUAUGACAGAAGGUUAUGGCCAUUUCAAAUCAAAUCAUUUAAAAAAAUAGACAUUUUUAUUGUUAAUUUGAUGGCAUAGAUUUCAGCCACAAUUGUGUCACCGUGGUCUACUGAGAUGAUUUAGUUCAAAAUAAACCAACAUUCUUCACUAUAGAGUUUUCAUUAAAAAUAUCUACUAAAAGAAGAGAAUUUUCUUUGGUGCUUAUGGUUAGAAUACAAAAAGGUGGAGUGAACGACUGCCAAAAUAUACUUGGAUUAAGUUUAUUAAUUCACUUCGUUAUCUGUAUCUAAUUCAUCAAUUAUAAUUCACAAUAUAUAAUUGAUGGCUAUCACAAAAGAUGAUAUGAAAUUCAAUUUCAAUUGCACUGCUAUGCAUUUGAUAACAGAAAUGUUUUUUUCUCAGCCAAUGAAUGUUUGUUGAGAACCCCAGAAGAUGCAGUGUUCUGUCCUGUGCGUUGGUAUCUUUUUCAAAGAAUAUAUGUGAUCUGGUGAAUAGAUAGGAUACUUAUCUUUCUUAGAUUUUUAAUAGAGACACACUGCUAAUGUGUAUUCAUAUUCAAUACAGAUAUGUAGAGAUACAAAUAAUAGCUAGGUAGGACAUUGAUUCUUUAAGUUCAGAGUCUGUUCUCCCUUUCUCCCUCUCUUCUCAGUCUGAAAGCUCUUAGGUGGGGCUGAGCAAAGCGGGCAGCUGUAAGUGGCAAAGGCAGUGACACAGGACAGGUGUUGCUUGAGCAGGUCAAGGAUGGUGUCUGCACUGACUGGGGUGGGAAGUGGAAGCCCCACUGAGAGGGGUUGGGAUAAGCAGUUUUCCUGCACAGGGAAGGACAGGUGGAACGCUUACGGAAGCCCCAGAAAUGGGUGGAGAAGACCGACUGGGUGAAGAGUCCACCUGUGGGAUGAUUAUGGCCUGGCCUGUGGCGAUGGGGCUGUGGAGGGUGCAAAGGGCAUGUGCAUAGCCUGCCAAGGAAUACAGAGCCCAAGAGGGAGGAGGAGGCUCCCUGUGUGCGGGCACCGGUGGUGUGAGCCACCAUGGGAUAUAAGGGCUGAGAACAAAGUGAGGAGGGCACCCUGGUGGGAGACAAAGGUGAUGGCAGCAGCAUCUGUGUGCAGAUUGGAGCCCUGCAUGCAGACGGCACCUGUGCAGGGGUGAGGCGACUGUGGAGGGGGUGGUAAGAGAGCAUCCACAUGGGAUUAGUGGUGCAGUGGUUUGCUGGGGGCACUGGUCACCCUGCGGCGACUGAGUGAAUAAGAGAGUAUAAUGAAGAUAAAGAGAGACAAGUUUCUCAUUGUAAGAAACUGAGAAAGAUAAAAAAAAAAAAAAUGGAACAAACCCAUGGGGUUAAUUUGGAAUUAUGGUAUUGGUUUGAACUCAUGGUUUUCAGUAUAUAAGUAUAGAUAGAUAUAUACCUAUAUAAAUAAAUAUUGAUCAGGAUGUGGGUGUGUGUGUACAUCUAUAUCAUAUGUGCAUGCACACACACACAUAUAUUUGCUACCUGUAUCCAAAGAGAGAGCUUAAGAGCAAUGAUAUUCUUGUGUCACCCAGAUGCUGAAACCUAAAAUCCAUGCUCCAGUAAAAGAACUGGGAUGCCUUGGAGAAAUGGCUGAUUCUAGGACGGAUCAGGAUAAUUACAUAAUAAAUGUGAGGUAGCUCAUUAUGAUGGAAGAUAAGGAAGUACUCAAAAGAAAGAAGAGGACAUUUCAAAAAGACAUAGAAAUCCAGAUGGCCAAACAAGAGACAGGUUUAGCAUCAAAACAAAUAAUAAUAGUAAACAUGUUCCUUACAGUAGACUACCAACUGCUUAAGGUAUAAAAAGUAAGAGGAAAACCAUGUGGCAACCAUCGUAAUAAUAAUUCAGGUAAGAAACAUCAAUGGAUGCAAUGAAGUGGUAGAAAAUUUGAUGAAGGGUAGAAUAGGCUCUUAAAUUACCUUCACAAAGCAAUGAAGAGUAAUUUCUUCGGUAAAGAAAUCUGCCACACAAAACUUAACCAAGUGAUCAAGGUGAACAUUAACAUACAGGACAAAGCAAAAUGACAUAGCGCUUGAUAGGGUACAAUGAGACCAUAGCAUCACAUUCGCGAUAUCUCUGCCAAAAACAGAUAACCCAAACAUAAUCAUGAAGAAACAUCAGACAGCCAGAGUGGAAGAUACUUAUCUGAACAACUGGCAUGUAAUUUUCAAAGUUACCAAUGUCAUGAAAGCCAAGGAAACCCCAAGGAACCGUUUGAGAUUGCAGCAGAUUCAAGAAACAUGGUCACCAAAUAGGGUCCUCAAUUGGAACCUUUUGCUAAAACACAUACUCUUGCCCAGUUGGGGAAGCUUGUAUGUGGAUUAAAUGGUGGUAAUAAAUUAAUAUUAAGUUCUUUAUUUUGUUUAUUUAUUAAAAAAAUUUUUAAUGUUUAUUUUUGAGAGAAAGAGAGAGAGGGAGAGAAAGAGACAGAGUGUGAGCAAGGAAGGGGCAGAGAGAGAGGAAGACACAGAAUCUAAAGGAGGCUCCAGGCUCCGAGUUCUUGCACAGAGCCCGCCUCUGGCCUCCAACUCAUGAGCUGUGAGAUCAUGACCUGAGCUGAAGCUGGUCGCUUAACUGACUGAGCCACCCAGACAUCCCCUAGGUUCUUUAUUUUGAUUAUUAUAUUGGGACUUUGCAGGAGAAAAUAUUACUUGUAGGAAGUACAUUCUAAAAUAACUGAAGGUAACAGGACAUAGAGGCAGCAAAACUAUUCUGAAUGUUUGAAAUCAUUUCAAAUCAUUUCAUUGAAAAAAAUAUAUCAGGAGUCUAAAAUAGUCUGUUUUCCAGAGCUGCCUGUGUUAUGACCUGGCUGUUUGAGGGAGGAGGACAAAUCACUUCAACUCUUUAUGUUUCUAUUUCUUCACCUCUUAAAUAAGGGAGUUGGACUAAAGCACCUCAAAUCUCUCUAGAGGUCUAAUACCAUCAGGUUCUCAGGUGUCAAUCAGGAACAUUGUACUUAGGGGUUAGGCAAGAAGGGGUAAGUGGUAAAAAGCUCUGGAAGAGGAAUCAUCCUGGUUGCAUUUUGUGAGAGUGGAGAUUCGCUGUGUGCCAGAAAGAGGAAGAGGGAUUGUGCAGGCAAGGAAAGUGCUCAAGCAUACAGUCUGAGCAGAAGUUACACAACAGGAAGAGACAAGAUCUUAUCUUUUUGCUGAAAGACUUCUUGAUUCCCCUCCCUCUCUUCAUCCCACCUUCCUUCCUCCCUCUAGCAGUUAUUAAGCAGUUCCCACAUUCAAGGCACUGGGUGAAAUACUGUGGAGGGUAGAGGCAGAAAGGAUAGUUUCUGCUCUCAAAUUGUCUUCAGUCUGGUAGAAGAGGAAACACACAGAUAAAGCAACAGCAACCACAACACCAAAAUCCCCCCCAAACUCUGCUUAAACUACACCAAGUUUGCCACUCUGAGGUUCAGAAUUGAAUUAACCUCUUUCUCGUUCAACAAUCAUUCUCCCUCCCCUCCCCCAAAGCAUUCUUUCCCCUUAUUUGAUAGUUUUAUAGACUAGGUGACAUGUGGCAUUGAUAGCUGUAUGUUUUAUCAGGAAAAAAAUAAGCCUUGGUCAAGUGAGCAGUACUCUACAGACUAUCUGCUUAAUGCCUCUAGGAAUAAAAUGGAAUUUAUCUCUUUGAUUUUUAAACCUCAGAGAAACUCUGCUUCCCUUUUCCUACCACAGGAAAAACUGCAAUUUAACAAUUGAUACAUGAAAUGAUUAAUUUUAUUAGGGUGAAAUUGUGAAAUAAAAUACAAUGUGGAUUGGGUUCCUCUUAAUAUAAGUCAUCUUUUUAAGCUGGUAAAAUAAUAAUAUGUAUUAAUUUAUACAAUAUUGUUAUAACACUGUACUGUGCAUUAUAUUGUAACAUCAGGGAAUUUAUAUGUAUGCCACUGAAAAUCAGUAAGGGACUUAAUCCACAAAAUCCAUAUUAUUUUCUUUAUCAGUCGUUUUGGAAAAGACAGAAAAUUAUAGUGCUUGAAUAAAAUAUGUUUUUAAAACGAAUUUUCCAAAUAAAAUUUCCCCUAAUGUUCAUCCUUGUUCAUUAAGCCCACAUAAAAGGGACCAAAGCAGCCAUUAAGUGGAGGUUCAAUGGCUCUCUGUUUAAAGCGAACGCUACGGUUCCAACCCAUAAUGUGUCGAUUGUUUUGGAAAAUGCUAAUUGUUAAAUUGAUUGUGAUAUUCAUGUUCUGGCACUCCAGUUGAACACUGCACAAUGCCCCAUGUGAUGAUGGAGAAGAGCUUGCUGUUUGAUGCACAGUGCUUGGCAUGUCCACGUCUAUCUCAGUUGUGAAAGGUUGUUUCAGGGCCUUGUUUUUCUAAAUGUGAACGGCUCAGACAAGAGAACGGUAACACAAGAUACUAAAUUAUGCUUACUCCUUUCAUCAGUGAAGUCGCUCAGAUGAAUAGAUGGGGAGCAAGGAAACUGCAUGUUACAUAUUUAUAGUGGAUUCUGAGGGUGGCUGAGAAAGCCAACGCAGCAUGGUUGAGUGCAGGAUGUACCCGGAGUUGGGAACGUGGUUCUGGUCCUGCUCUGGCUCUCUCUGACUGUGAUAUUGGCACGUUACUCUUUGGGAUCUUAUCUAAGAAGAGAGGAUCAGGACAAAAUAUUUUCUGAGUCCCUUCCAGUGCUUUUACUAUGAAAUAUCACUAUGUUAAAUUUCUCGCUUGUUAUGGCACUUAAUAUGGAAAACACUGACAAAUAACUUCCAAGUAAUUUUUCAUCAGAUAGAUACCAAGUCCCUUUUAUGUUCUGAGAACUGUGUCUAUACCAAAAGUGUAGGAUUAAUACAUGUAGCAUGUGUUAUCAGGAGUGUAUAAUUCAGCCUAAUACUGGCAGACUAAUGAUAAAUUUAGGGCGGUGAUAUUAUAACAAGUCCCAUAAUAUAACUAAAUGUAAUGCACGAUCCCAGAUUUGAUGCUCAAACAGAAAAUAAAUAUUGCUAUAAUGAACAUUGUUGGAAAAAUUAUACUGAAUUAAUAUCAAAUUUCCUGAGGGAGAUAAUUGUAUUGUGGUUAUUUGAGAGAAUAUCCUGGUUCUUAGGAGAGACAUGCUGACAUAUUUGGGGUCAUGAUAUCUGCAACCCAGUCCCAAAUGAUUCAGUAAAAUGUAUGUUUAUACACACACGCUUAUACAUAUGUAUGAGAGAGGCUGAAAGCAAACACAGGAGAAUGUUUACAAUCGGUGAAAGUAGUAUAUGGAUAUUCCCCACCCCCCCCCCCCCCCCUUUUUUUGAGAGAGAGACAGCAAGAGGGGAGAGGAGGGGCAGAGGGAGAGAGAGAGAACCUCAAGUAGGCUCCACGCUCAGUGUGAAGCCUGACGCGGAGCUUGAUCCCAUGACCCUGGGAUCAUGACUUGAGCCAAAAUCAAGAGCCAGGUGCUCAAUGGACUGAGCCACCCAGGUGCUGGGUAUUGCUUUAUGAUUCUUAAAUCUUUUCUGAACAUAAUAGCUAGAAAAAGUAAUGUGUGAUAAAAUGUUACAGGAAUGCAAGGAUAAUUGCAUGCAAGAUUAUUAUAAUAGCUAGUCUAAUAAAACAGGAUGUUAAACCAUCUCAUUUUAUAAGUCUGCGGCCCCACAGAUGAAACAUAUUGGUGACAAGUGUCCAGUGAUUGAUUGUGAAGAGUAGCUCCAUUCUCAUCCCCCCCCCCCACUGGACAAGGUAAGAUGUGGCCCUGAUCAUGUCCAGCUCAUUGGUUUCUUCCAGCUCAUAGGCAAGAAGAUUAUUCUGAGGCACAAGAAUGGUUAAGUAACUUGCCCGAGGUCACACAGUAGGUGUGACCAAGGAGUCAAAAUCAGGCUUUGCCAAGUGGUCUCCUACCUUUACCACUCUAUAGUGCCUCUAAUAAUCUUAUGUGAACUCAGUUUGGAUGUUUCAUGUUUUCUUUUUCUUCUUUCUGUCUACUUUUUCAAGUUUAGUUUGGAACAAAAAUGUCCAAAGGAGCUCAAACCAUGGUUGGAUUAUUAUUAGUGAAUUAGACAAAUUGAAACUUUGCUGAUUGGAUUACUUCCACAGAACCCUGAUCGUUGUGAUUUGGCCUGUCAUAAUGAUUGUAAAUGGUUAUCAGUGAUUUAUCUGGUCAUUGAUUUUGAAGACUUUUAGAGCAAUAAGAUCUAGUAUAUGUAGCAAAUUGGGUCUUUAAGUAUAUUUUUUAAUGCAUAUAAAAUCUGUAUAUCUUAAAGGAAAUAACAUCCAAUUCAUCAUGAGGAGAACUGAGAUUAAAAUAGGAAGACUGAUAUUGAGCACACCUUCUCCGAGCUUUUCUCAGCGCUACUCUUAUAGGAAUGGUGUCUCAGGAAAGAUGUUAGAUCAGCUUGAGACUUAAGACUUCAUUUUGAGUUUAGGGAGCUGUAAGUAUUUUGGAAGAUACUCAGGAAUAAAGUCAUGAAAUUUUCUUUUCAUGUUCAUAAAAAUAUAAGGCACCAUCACUUAGACAAAGACACUUUGGGGUGAAAAUGGUGAAUGCUCAAGAGCCUUUAGAAAAAUUAUCUACAAGGGUGCUUUACUAUUAGAAGAGGAACUGGCAUGGGAGGAGAGAGGUUACACUUUAAACUUAAAGGAAUAUGGUAAUCUUUGGAUUCUGCAAUUUGGAGCAAACUAGUCUUGCAUUUUAUUCCUCUGAUGUUUGUUUCUUUUCACUGUGAAGAUUCAACCUUCAAAGCAGAACCUGACAGGUUGUGCUCUGCUCAUCCAGCCUUCUGGGCAUCUGUCCUCAGGUGAAUUAUAGCAGCAAAUCUGGGAGUUCACUCCUGUUCUCGGUGCUCGUUCAUCUCAACCGAGUGGCAGCAGAGGCCUUAAAUGAGCCAUAGAGAAGUGCGUGCCACAAACAUCUUCAACUGGGAGUUUUGAAUAAUGUUACUUUUAGGUUUUCAAAAAAGUUUUCUCCUGUUCAUCACGAAGCCUAAUGAAAGCCUAUUUUGCAUUCUGAGAGGAGGAAUUGUAAUGUGAAAAUGUCUCAGAAUCCAAAUUAUUUAAGCAGUAAUCCAAAGAAGUUCCUUGUCAGAAGCAAUAUUAUUUUGUACGUGCUAGAGAAGAGGAACCCUUGAGCGCUAUCCCCCCAGAACUCUUGAACAGUGACUGGUGUGUAUAUAUCGUGAAGAGAGUUACGCCAUUAAUUCUUGAUACGUAACGCAUUCCUUUCUUUGUAUCUGAUAUUAUUUUUAAUAGUAUUUCUGUCAAUUCUCUUGAGAUAACAAGUUGUCUACAUUGGAGACAUUUUUAUUCAUUUUGUCUGAAAUUUAUACCUUUUCCUCAUUUUACUUUCUUUUUUUCAGUUUCACUGAGAUGUAAUUGAUAUACAGCACUCUACAAGGUUAAGGUGUACAGCAUAAUGACUAGACUUACACAUGUUGUGAAAUGAUUCCCACAAUAGGUUUAGUUAACAUCCAAUAUCUCAUAUAAAUACAAAAAAAAAAAAANNNNNNNNNNNNNNNNNNNNNNNNNNNNNNNNNNNNNNNNNNNNNNNNNNNNNNNNNNNNNNNNNNNNNNNNNNNNNNNNNNNNNNNNNNNNNNNNNNNNNNNNNNNNNNNNNNNNNNNNNNNNNNNNNNNNNNNNNNNNNNNNNNNNNNNNNNNNNNNNNNNNNNNNNNNNNNNNNNNNNNNNNNNNNNNNNNNNNNNNNNNNNNNNNNNNNNNNNNNNNNNNNNNNNNNNNNNNNNNNNNNNNNNNNNNNNNNNNNNNNNNNNNNNNNNNNNNNNNNNNNNNNNNNNNNNNNNNNNNNNNNNNNNNNNNNNNNNNNNNNNNNNNNNNNNNNNNNNNNNNNNNNNNNNNNNNNNNNNNNNNNNNNNNNNNNNNNNNNNNNNNNNNNNNNNNNNNNNNNNNNNNNNNNNNNNNNNNNNNNNNNNNNNNNNNNNNNNNNNNNNNNNNNNNNNNNNNNNNNNNNNNNNNNNNNNNNNNNNNNNNNNNNNNNNNNNNNNNNNNNNNNNUUUUUUUUUUUUUUUCCUUCCCCUCCCCCAUGGGUUUCUGUUAAGUUUCUCAGGAUCCACAUAAGAGUGAAACCAUAUGGUAUCUGUCUUUCUCUGUAUGGCUUAUUUCACUUAGCAUCACACUCUCCAGUUCCAUCCACGUUGCUACAAAGGGCCAUAUUUCAUUCUUUCUCAUUGCCACGUAGUACUCCAUUGUGUAUAUAAACCACAAUUUCUUUAUCCAUUCAUCAGUUGAUGGACAUUUAGGCUCUUUCCAUAAUUUGGCUAUUGUUGAGAGUGCUGCUAUAAACAUUGGGGUACAAGUGCCCCUAUGCAUCAGUACUCCUGUAUCCCUUGGGUAAAUUCCUAGCAGUGCUAUUGCUGGGUCAUAGGGUAGGUCUAUUUUUAAUUUUCUGAGGAACCUCCACACUGCUUUCCAGAGCGGCUGCACCAAUUUGCAUUCCCACCAACAGUGCAAGAGGGUUCCCGUUUCUCCACAUCCUCUCCAGCAUCUAUAGUCUCCUGAUUUGUUCAUUUUGGCCACUCUGACUGGCGUGAGGUGAUAUCUGAGUGUGGUUUUGAUUUGUAUUUCCCUGAUGAGGAGCGACGUUGAGCAUCUUUUCAUGUGCCUGUUGGCCAUCCGGAUGUCUUCUUUAGAGAAGUGUCUAUUCAUGUUUUCUGCCCAUUUCUUCACUGGGUUAUUUGUUUUUCGGGUGUGGAGUUUGGUGAGCUCUUUAUAGAUUUUGGAUACUAGCCCUUUGUCCGAUAUGUCAUUUGCAAAUAUCUUUUCCCAUUCCGUUGGUUGCCUUUUAGUUUUGUUGGUUGUUUCCUUUGCUGUGCAGAAGCUUUUUAUCUUCAUAAGGUCCCAGUAAUUCAUUUUUGCUUUUAAUUCCCUUGCCUUUGGGGAUGUGUCGAGUAAGAGAUUGCUACGGCUGAGGUCAGAGAGGUCUUUUCCUGCUUUCUCCUCUAGGGUUUUGAUGGUUUCCUGUCUCACAUUCAGGUCCUUUAUCCAUUUUGAGUUUAUUUUUGUGAAUGGUGUGAGAAAGUGGUCUAGUUUCAACCUUCUGCAUGUUGCUGUCCAGUUCUCCCAGCACCAUUUGUUGAAGAGACUGUCUUUUUUCCAUUGGAUGUUCUUUCCUGCUUUGUCAAAGAUUAGUUGGCCAUACAUUUGUGGGUCUAGUUCUGGGGUUUCUAUUCUAUUCCAUUGGUCUAUGUGUCUGUUUUUGUGCCAGAAGUAUUUGUCUUUAUCUUAUGUCACUUAGCAUAAUGCCCUCAAGGUCCAUCCAUGUUGUUAAAAAUGACAAAAUUUCCUUCUUUUUUUUUUUAUGGUUGAAUAGAUAUUUUCCUUUUGCUGUUAUCCUGUGACAAAUACAGGCCAUAAUAUGAAUUAACCGUUGGUUGCAUUUAAUUGAUUUAUUAUAUAACGCUUGCUUUACUUUCUGGUUGGUUCAUGUAUACAAGUACUGUUUCUGUUCAGUUUGGGAGACAUGCUGGGGCCUCAACAGAGAGGGGGGGAAUUAAAGUUAUACAUAGGAUCAGGCUAAUGGAAUUCUCCUGUGGAGAGCUGGUGGUCUGUACACGGGGAAGGCUGGUGUUUUAUAUAACAGUGCCCAGGAAACAGUGGUGACCUUGGUGACAAUCCAGGUAGGGUUGCUGUCCAAGGGAUCUAAUCAGUUGAAUAGGACAUGGACACAGGCAGUCACCAGACAGGGGUAAAGAUGCAGUUACAAAGAUGUGAUCACCUUAGUUUCAGGGAGUUCUAGCUUUAAGGAAGGUCACAGCCAGAAAUUUAAGGGUGGAGGGAGUAUGCCUAGUCCCUGAGGUUAGAAGUUUGUUGGUAAAGUCUUAAUGCAUUUGAGGUCUAACCAAAAGGGCUAAAUUUCAGGGCAGAACCCCAGCCCCGGUGGCAGAAAUAGUAGGCUCUCUCCAGAAUGCAAAGGGUCUUCAAGAUAAAUUCAGACUGUGACCAGACCUUAGUCUAAGCUGGUGACUGGAUUAUGGAUACUGAGUUGGGUCAGAAAAAUAAAUUCCAUUUUUCUUUGUUGGUAGUCCUGGGGUUCAUUGCCAGUUAGGAUUUGUUCAGGUGCUUAGUGAGGCUAAAUUUUUCAGAUACAGGAUCAACAGUAUUAGGGAAGACUUCAGCGGUCAGGAACCAAUAGAUUAUAAAAUUUUUGAAGAUGCUUAUGUCUGUUUCUAUCUCAGCUCCCAAAGCCUGGCACAAGGCGGAUGCUCAGAGUAGGUGCUGAGUUGAUAUUUGUGAAUUGUGCAGUCUGGUUCCCAAAGGAUAUUAAGUAAAUAGUUACAUCCAUGUCAAGAUUUGCAUGUCUAGAUCUGCUUAGAAUGAUUCUAGGAUAUAUUCAGAUGAAAGAUCUAGUUUAUUUUCCUAUUUAUGAGAAUGAUAUUUAAAAAUAUUUCCUUUUAGUGUUUCACUUACUAAACUAAGUUAAAAUAUUAGCCCUUUUAAAAACAGAAUUAAACCUCAUACUCAUUUCUUUAUACCUCUAGAUCAGUUAUUAAGAAUGCAAUUGUGGUGAGGCUUGCCACAUUGAAAAAUUAACAUUACGGAGACGAUAUUUCUGCCAACUUCAGAGUUAAGACAUUGCUGUCAUUAUUAAAGCAGGAUAUUUUUCAUAUAUAUAAAUGACGCUUCUGGAAACAAUUAGAGUAAGUGCCGCUUGAACAUUAACGGGGGAUUUGUCCUAUGUCAUUCACAUUCCCUCAACUUAUUUGCCUUAGGAAUGUUGCACAGACUUACAUCUCUCAUACAUUUUGUCCUCAGGGGUAGUAUAUUUCCUCCCCCCCCCAUACAGCAAUUCACAAUCCAGUGUAACAAAGCAUGUAUAUUUUCCAUUGUAUUCCAUUAUUUUUCCUGCCUAGGGGCUCUGUUUCCUUAUAAAAUUGUGCUUGCUGAAAUUUCCUUGGUAGUUACUAAGUUCAACAUGCUCUUUUUUCCAUAUACGAGACCAAAACUCAGAGAGUUCACAUAACUUUUUGCCUGUGGCCCAACAGUUGCUAAUGCCUACAUCCAGAUAUCCUAUUUUCCAAACUAUUCAUUUUUAAAUAUCAUCUAUCUCAAAUUUGAAAACCACUGAUGAAGUACUUAUUUGAUUAUUUUUUAUCACCAUCUAUAACCAGUGGAUUUGUAUGAUCCCUAUUGCAGGCUUCUCCCCUUUUUGAGUACCGUCUACUGUUCUCUAAUUAACUCCAUUGUCAAGCCACAUGACAACAUCUAGAUAUCUGAAAUACUCUGUAACAAGUCUUUGUGUUCUCAUGAAGGGCAAUACUUAAAUGAAAAAAAAAAUUUUAGGGCACCUGGGUGGCUCAGUCAGUCCAGGGUCCAACUUCAGCUCAGGUCAUGAUCUCAUGAUUUGUGGGUUCGAGCUCCGCGUCCUGCAUCAGGCUCUGUGCUGACAGCUGGGAUCCUGGAGCCUGCUUUAGUUUCUUUGUCUCCCUCUCUCUCUGACCCUCCCCUGCUCAUACUGUCUCUCUCUCUCUCCCUCUUUCUCUCUCUCUCUCAAAAAUAAAUAUUUUUUUAAAAUUUUUUAAAAAGAAAAAAAACCAGGAAAACAUUUUUUAAAGUAGCCAAAUAUCCAAAUGUUUUCUAAAUUCCCAUGUUUAGGGACACCUGGGUGGCUCAGGUUGGUUGAACACCCGACUUACUGGGCUCAGGUCGUGAUCUUGCGGUUUGUGACUUUGAACCUUACAUCAGGCUCGCUGCUAUCAGCACAGAGCCCACUUUGGAUCCUCUCCCCCCCCCCCCCCCCCCCCCCCCCCCCCCCUCNAUCCAAAUGUUUUCUAAAUUCCCAUGUUUAGGGACACCUGGGUGGCUCAGGUUGGUUGAACACCCGACUUACUGGGCUCAGGUCGUGAUCUUGCGGUUUGUGACUUUGAACCUUACAUCAGGCUCGCUGCUAUCAGCACAGAGCCCACUUUGGAUCCUCUCCCCCCCCCUCUCUCUGCCCCUCUUCUGCUUGCGCUCUCUCAAAAAUAAGCAUUAAAAAAAUAAAAAUAAUAAAACGAAUUCCCAUAUUUAUGGCAUUCUGUGGAGAAAGUCUCCAGAUAAAUAUCUAUAAACUUCAACCUUCAAACAAAAAUGUCUUCCACGUGGAUAUUUCCUAAAGUCUAUCUAUGUUGUUCUGUGUAAGAAACUGAAAGACUAAUGUUGCCUCUGCAGAAAUACCAACUUAAUGUUUUUAAAUCCAUCUUUCAUAUUACCUCAUCUAUUACAAUGUAACUACAUUUACGUUUAUAUGGGUAUUGUGUUCUUGAUGGUAUCUUCUGAUCUGUAUCAUCAUCAACGUGAACAUUAAGCCCAUAAUUAAUGUAAUACCAGCAAAUAGAAAGUAAAUAUUUGCCAAGCAUUAUCAAUUAAUAUGUACUCUGGGCCACGAAUUUAUGUAUCUCUCUGUAUCUGCCUUUUUUUUCUUUAUAGAUGAUGUUGCAUAAACAUACUCAAAUAUUCUGAAAGCUCAGGUUAACUGUAUUUAAAAUCAUAUUUUGCAUGGCAAUACAGGCAGCAAUUGGCCUUGUGCAGGCACUUCUUUGAAAGGGAUACAGAAGGGUGCCUGGUUGGUUCACUCGGUUUGGAUUUCAGCUCAGGUCAUGACCCCAGGGUAGUAAAAUUGAACCUGUGUUGGGCUCCAAGCUGGGUGUGGAGCCUGCUUAAGAUUUCCUCUCUCCCUCUUCCUCUGCCCCUCCCUUGCUCACCAAAUGUGCUCUUUCUCAAAAAAAAAAAAAAAAGGGAUAUUGAAAUUGUCAUUAAUUCUCAUUUGCAUUAGAUUCAAGUGUAUAUCCUGAAUAAUGCCUCAUGCAACUAUAUUGCCUCAGGAUUUUAUAAAUUACUCCUAUAAAAAUAAAAAGGAGUUACUUGAAGAGAAUUGAACUUAUAGCAUACUAAACAAUGUUUGGCUUAUUAGUUAACUCAUGUAUAUAAAAUUAAUGUAUAAACAUUAUAUGUGUGUUUAAUAUAACUCUAUAUGUAUAUGGCCACUCAUUUAUGUAUACAUACUCCUGCCCAUAUAGUCAGUACCUAUUAAUUGAGCACUUACUUGAUUCCAGGCACGUGGCUAAGACAGGAAAUACAGCAUGAACAAGACAAACCUGGCACCCAUUCUCCUAGAUCCUGUCAGGCACAAGAGCGCCCCUAACUUCUCCCUCGGCAGGCAUGGCACAAAGACGUCCGUGCCCCUGAGCCUGGAUCUCCUCAGGUCGGGGCUCUUUGGCAGGGCUCUUUGACUGGAUCAAGAAUGGCAUGGGAAUCAAAACCUAUUUGCCAUUCCUGACUGUAUAUUUACAUGUAUACGUAGCAGGCUGUUAAAUUAGAUGUUUCCAUCUAGAGACCCAGGCACAAUAGAUAACAAGAACCAAAAUAAAAUUUGCCCUAGACUACCACGAUGGAAAUUAUUAAUUCAAGUUUGAACUUUUUAUUUGGGGACUGGUUACAUGAUUUGAGGUCUCUUUCCAGGAGCCCUUCAAGAAGAUCAAAAGUAAGGGUUGACUGAGAUUGGGAAACGAUUUUGUGACAACAGUUUCUCUGUAGAAAUGGUAUUAAGAGCCACAGCGCCCUUAAGGGGUACAGCCCUUUCACCUAAGGCUACGGACGACUUGGCAAGUUUGCAGUUAAAGGACCACAGGGCACUGGUGCCCCAGUCAGGCUCGAGAAAGCUGCACUGGCUUGUGUGGAAGAGAAGAAUGCUACGGUUGGGAAGAAAACGCAUUCCUCACCAACACACGUCAAUAGGGUGUGACUCCGGCAUCAGAGGGCAUCAUACUGAUGACAUUUAAAAAUGAGUCCUGCCCACGGGGUUUUCCCUCCCAGGUAAGAGGAUCCAGGUGCUAACUAGCCGUCCCAUCGGGGACAGAAGCUGAAGUGGGACUGAAAGCCACAGGCUCAAGGAGAGACACUGCCAUGUCACAGGAGUGGCAGUUGAUGGGGCCUGCAGAGGGAACUUCAAAGAACUCACAUAAGCACCUACACAGGAAAGUCAGCUUUAAAACACCUGCAAGGUCUAGACAGCAUGACACCUGCCUAUGACAGUGGUGGCCAUGUAGGAAGUACAGGUAUUUCCAUCAAUUUUAUAUCCAAGCUCCCCAAACAUUAGCUGGUAGAAGCAGAAAGGAAGCUGCUUCUUUCCCACUGCUUGCUACAGGCUUCAGCUGAAGGCAGAACUGAGAUUUAGGUUUAAAUCAAGUUAGAACUUUGCAAUAUCUGGGAAAGGAAAUUUACAUUGCUUGAGCAAAUUUGGUGAAGUUAUCAUAGCCCUUUCUAUUAUCUCAGAGUGGCCAAAAGGUUUCUAAAGGUCUUCAUUGUCGCUCAAGGGCAGGAGAUGGGCUGCAAAUACUGAAUGGGUUUAAAGGGAUGGAGGGAAGCAAAAAUAAAAUUGCUUAUAUAAUUCACUCAUUCAUUGAUCCAUUCAUCCAGUGAAUAUUUAUUAAACACCUUCUAUGUGCCAGGCACUGUUUUCAGUGCUAGAUACAUGCGAGUGAAAAAAAAAUACUAAAAAAAAAAAAAUCUUCUGCUCCACAGAGUUUUGUUUUUAAUUUUUUUUUUUUAAAUUUUUUUUUUCAACGUUUAUUUAUUUUUGGGACAGAGAGAGACAGAGCAUGAACGGGGGAGGGGCAGAGAGAGAGGGAGACACAGAAUCGGAAACAGGCUCCAGGCUCUGAGCCAUCAGCCCAGAGCCUGACGCGGGGCUCGAACUCACGGACCGCGAGAUCGUGACCUGGCUGAAGUCGGACGUUUAACCGACUGCGCCACCCAGGCGCCCCAGUUUUUAAUUUUUUAAAAAUGUUUUAUUUAUUUUUGAGAGAGAGACCAAGUGUGCAUGGGGGAGGGGCAGAGAGGGAGGGAGCACAGAAUCUGAAGCAGGCUCCCAGACGCAGGGCUCAAACUCACGAACCGCAAGAUCAUGACCUGAGCUGAAAUCAGACACUUAACCAACUGAGCCACACAGGCACCCCUGCUUCACAGAGUUUCACACUUAGGGAGUGUAUGUUUAAUGUCAAGGAGACAUAUACAUAUAAGCACACAAUGAUGAACAGGUGUACGAGUGAGUUGCCCAGACAUUCUAUUUAUUUUCUACCUUUUCUUUACAGUUUUGGUGAAACCCAAAGGUAGUAUAGAUAAGGAAAUCUCAUGAUUCUGGUCUUCUCUGUUGACCCGAUUAUAUGUGAGGCUGUCCUUGAAUGAGUUCUAUGAUCAUCUUCAUUCAUAUUGCCGUAUUCCUGCAUCAUGGUUGCUAAGUUAAUUACCCAGCUCUCCUAGUCUGCAAAGUUCAACCUUAAAGUACUGCUUUUUUCCCCAACUGUGUAUACAACUCAACUUAAUUUGGCUUUGGAUAUUUUGUUAUAACACUUCAGGUUUAUGCUUAAAAUUGUUUCUGGGGCAUAAAAAUGGGCCACUGUCCUGCUCCUCAGUACACAAGACCAUUGAGAAGAAAUCUGGACUGUGCUGACAAUUUCUGCGCGCGUUUCCAGGCAGGGAUGAAUGAGCAGGAUUUGUAUAACGCAAUUUAAUCAGGAUCUGGCUCGUCAUUUGCUUUGACCACUCCUCUCUCUUCCCCCCGACUCCCAAAUGCACACGGAGACAUAGCUUGCCCAGCAGUUCCUACUGGUGCAGGGCUGGACAAAGAGAUCGCUUUGACUCACAAUGGGAAGAGAAAAACGUUUAUGCUGAAUGCUCUGUUGUGGUGUAAAAUAUCUUAAAUGUAGUGUGCAGCUGUCUUUCUGAAAAAUUUGCUCUAUAAUUCUUUCAUCUUCACUUAUGUGUGGUGGACCUAACUUAAAACCAAUGAAGUCCAAAUUUUACAGUUGAAACAUUUUGAUCCUUUAGCAGAAGGAAAAUGAAGUCCUCUUGUAAUUAAAACAUUAAAAUAAUUACUGAUCUAUAUUUAAAAUGAAAAAUUUAUAAAACACAUAAAAUUUUAAAUUCUCCUUACAGACAUUUGCUUAAAAACUUUUUGGGCGUACCUGGCUGGCUCGGUUGGUAGAGAACGUGACUCUUGAUCUCGGGAUUGUGAGUUCGAGCCCCACACUGGUCAUGGAGUUUACCUAAAAAAAUAAUGUAAAAAAAGCUUUUUGAAAAUAUCAUGCCCAGUUUCUUCUCAUAACAGGGGUACCUGUUGCCUAGUUUCGGUCCCAUAGGCUUUUUUAAAUGCCAUAUUGAUGUUCCUUAAACUGUCACUUGAAAUUUUUUUUUUAAGUUUUAGUUCUCAUGUAUAGUAAGAGCCCUUCAAUGUUUUUGUCAAUGUAAUUUAGCCAUUAUGAACAACCGGUUUGGAUGAACAGUGUUUAUUUUAUACUGGGCCACUUCUACUUGUGAUAUGGAUAAAUAACAUUUUACCGUCAAGUUUGUUCAACAAAACCAUUAUUGCUUUCUUGCUGUGCAGACACGGCAUUUGUUUCUGCGUCUGCUAAAAAAUAGUACUUGCCUUUGAGAAGCAUAUCAUCCAAUGUGUUGGGACGAAAGAGAAAUGUAGAUUGUCAUUUAUACUUUUAUAGUGCAUAGGAUGUAAAUUUGUAAUUUUAAUAAAAUGUGUUAAAAGCCGAGGUAAAAAUAUGUGCAGAUUGUUACCUAUUUCUUUCUAAUUUCGAAUUCCUGACUAACUCCUAUUAAUGACAGGACUGGCACUCUGACACGAGACAAUAGGUUAUAAGGAAAGGUUACACAUAAAAUUGAUCAGAAAGACUGCAAAUGCUGUUGUUGCACGCAUGAACUGUGAAGGGUGCUGUUAAUCCUGAAGAAGUAUGUGUUAAUAAACAACGUAUAUUGAAUAUACUGAUUAAAGCUGUCUGAUUAAUCCAACAGUAAGUGCUCUAGAGCCAUUAAAUUGAGCUUUCAGAGAAUUAUCAUCUACUUGAAUCUUUUUAAUUUAUCAAAUGCUCCUAAUAUAUUAUUUACCACUCACUGGUUUUUCAAGUCACAAGAGUAAUGCUAUUUGGACACUUAAAAAUACAUAACUGGAGAUAAAUUAGCAAAAUAAUAAAUCAUCCAACAAUUCAUCUUACCUUUCUAACCUUACGUCAUAAAGUGUUACUCACAAGUAAAUCUCUGGAGACACUGAUAGUACAGUGCCUAGUUUCAAAGUACGUAUUCAUACAAAAUUCCCUUUGCCUGCCAGCUGGAGCUAGAAUUCUGAGAAUUGUACACUUCAAGUACAUAUUUAAGGAAGAGCAAGUAUGUCGACAGGCUGUGAUAGAAGAUACAUAAUGAACAGAGUCCAUACACUCAAAGCUUAAGUGUUCAGGGAAGUAGAAACUAUGUUAUGGGACCAGAAGAUUUAGGGAACAUUACAAUAGCCACAGGCGUGGCUUCAUCUAAACAUUAACAUUUUAUAAAAUACAAAAAUACGUAUUAUUAGUUUUAUGAAUAAAGUUAAGAAGUUUUUAGAUGGGAUGAGCCCAUAGCGGUUGAAAUCAACAUCACCUGCAGAUCUCUGACGGUCAAAAUGAUUCUCUGUCCAUAGAAUGAAUAAAUUAAAUAAAAUAAAACUUGCAGUUGCGUGUAUGGGUGAGCAUUUCAGUAUAAAUAACAUUAAAUUAGAUGUGGCUAUUCUUCUACAUAUUGCCAUUUUUGUCCUGCUCACAAUCCAUUUGCCAUUUCUCCCCCACUCCCAGCUCGCCCCAGGGAAGUAAGAUAGAAUCAGGGAAUCUGAAAGAGUAGUGUGAUGUGUGCAGGGAGUUGAGGGCACAGACAGAGCAGGAAGUGAAAUGUCGAGUGGGUACAACAAAGAACAGGAGCCCAGGAUAAACCACGGCAAGAUGGAAUCACGCUCUUUUUAGAUGUUACAUUUCAAGGUUGUUCCUGAGUUUUAUUUUUUAGGAACUCCUGGGUAUUUGUUGAAUCUGACCAUAAUUUGGUCCCUGGGGCAAAAGGGCAAAUGUUUUGAAAGAGUUUCUAUGUAUAGAUUUGGCGGGGGGGGGAAGCAUUUUUAUUCUUAUACAGAGAUUUCUAAAGUCAGUAGUUGGUUGACCAUCUGAGAAUCUCAGUCAUUAUUGUUGCUUCCCCAAUGAUGGAGGAAGAUAUGAUGCCAUUUGAUGCCUUGUCAUUUCAACCUUCUUGCAUCCGCUUUCCGUGAGAUGUUCCCUAAUAUAGUUUAUUAAAUCUGAAGCUGCAUACCCAUUAUUGAGUAGCUCCUAAAUAGUUUUUAGGCAAAGUAUAUCAUAACAGUUCAAUAAUACUCUUCUUACUUGACUUUAAAAUGCCUUCUCUUAGUCUGUUGUUGCAAACAACAUUUUAUUCUAUACAAUAUUUAGGUGAAGGACCAUGGGAAGGAAAUGUAGAAUUAGUUGUAGAGAUAAUGACCAUUACUAUAGAUCUUAGUGUGUUGAAAAGCGGGUGUCCUGGGCAAAUUCUACAGGUAGAAUUCAGACAGAUGGGAUCAAAUAUCUCACAUAUAAGAAAUUACCCCUAAAAAUAUUCCAGCUUUAUUUAGAAAAGUAGCUAAUUUUUUGUGAAAAUGCAGUUCUGUCUCUAAUUUUAGUGCAUCUAGACAGAGAAACACACACACACAUAUGUGUAUAUAUGUAUGCAUAUAUAAUAUAUAAUCCUAUAUUUAUGUAAUCAUAUUAUAUAUAGUCAUUAUAAACAUAUAUAUAUAUAUAUAUACAUACAAAUAAAUUUGUCAUCUAAAAAAUGUUCUAAUAGUAAGACUAUGGGAAUACCUUUGGAACCUAUAAACAUCAUGCUUUUUGGGGAAAGUGUUCAUUUUCUAUAUCUAUUUAAAUUAUUCUUUUGAAAAGCAUUUCAUAGGCUUUCUGCAUGUGCAGGAUGUUAGGUAGAAAUCGAAAUUAUAUUCUAGUUUGGUGGGAAUAUACCUGCCUUUAAUACAACACAAUGACCUCACAAGAGGUAUUUCUGUUGCCUCACUUGUAACUCUGUGAUGUAAAUUUUGACGCUUCACAAAUUGGCUCUGAUGGUUAUGACAUCAACAACUGCUAUACAUCUCCUUGGUUAGGUUACAUGCUUAAUUAGUCAUGUUUCAUUUCCUUUCUGGCUUUCACAGAAGUUUCUCUUACAUGACAUGAGUUUUGGAAGACAGCAUCCUCUGAGGACUCCCAUUCCCCCAUCUUUAGAGAAAUUCCUUCUUGAAAGAGGCAAAUUAGCACAACGUUGCACCCAGACAGGAAAACGGGGUUCUGGAUGUGGAAGGUGACUGCGGACAGAGAUUUCAAGAUCAAAACUUUCAAAGUAUGUUUCUGCCACUUCCCGUGUCACCUGCGGGAUUGCACUUCAUCUCUCUUUACUUCAUUUCACCUGUCAGUUAAAAAGGGCAUAAUAUUUAUGUUCAAGUCUUUCAGUUUUUUGAUUUUUUAUAAUGAACUCUUUGUUCGUAUUGAAGCAAGCCCAUAUUAUUAACAAAUGAUACGGUCACAAUGAAAAACUCCCUUCCUAUGCAGAGAGCCCAAGGGACAGCUCCCUUUUCUAUUUUUCAGCUGUACACCUUUGCAAAUGGAUGAGCCUUGCGCCACUGCCUAAAGGUCAGAAAGCAAAGGAUCUGCUGAUUCAGCAGGAAGGAUAAAACCCUAGAGUUUCCAUCUCCCUACCUAAAAUACCUAAUCUCUUCUUCUUUGUGGAAAUAAAACCUGGGAACACUUAGGGAAGACCAAAGUUUUAUUUUUGCUGAGACCCCAAAGUUUUGUCCAUAGUGUCUGUCUUCUGGGACUCUAUUAUUCUGGUAGCUGCACCAGAGAAAUAAGAGUUCAGGUGUAGCUCACCCAGCUCUCAAAGGUUCUUAGAACAGGUUCUAAGAACAGGUUCUAAGAACAGGUUCUAAGAACAAAGGUUCUUAGAACAGGUUUUAUUUUUGCUGAGACCCCAAAGUUUUGUCCAUAGUGUCUGUCUUCUGGGACUCUAUUAUUCUGGUAGCUGCACCAGAGAAAUAAGAGUUCAGGUGUAGCUCACCCAGCUCUCAAAGGUUCUUAGAACCACAGUCUUCACCACUGUGCACAACUCAAGGAAGCUUUCUCCUGCAGUUGUUUGUUCAUUUAGAAUGAGGGAAUACACAUAAACUCCUGACCCAUUGGACUGAUGGAGUCCAAAUUUUGAAAAUAUCUUCCCAUUUUAUUCUUUUUCUUAUCUCUCAUCUGGUGUUGUCACUCCAAUGAAGAAUACUAACACCAAAGAUCUUUUUUUUUUUAUGUUUAUUUCUUUCUUUUGAGAGAGAGAGAGCACGGAGAAGGGACAAAGAGGGAGACAGAGAAUCCCAAGCAGGCUCCAGGCUGUCAGUGCAGAGCCCGACAGGGGGCUCAAAUUCAUGAACUGCUUGAUCAAAACUGAGCAAAAAUGAAGAGUAGGAUACUUAAUCUAAUGAGCCAUCCCAGGUGCCUUAAACUAAAACUAAACUAAAAACUAAAGAUCUUAAAGCUAAAGUACUUAAUUCUAAUUACCAUUUUGGAGCUAACAGUUUUUAGGGGGGCAAAACUAUCACAAACACUAAAAUUAGAUUUGGGGACUGUUUCCAUUAUAAUUGUAAAUUUUCUUCACAUUAUUACCAGCCUACUUCUUUCAGUAAUAUAAUGAGGAAUACUAUGGCCAUCACUGUUUAAGUCUAUGAUUUAAAGUGUGUUUACUAUUUCCCAUGUAGCAUUAAGCACUAAACUAAGAAUUUCACCUGCCGAACUUGAAUUUCACUUGACAGCCAUAGCAGGUGGCCACUGUUACUGUCCUCAUUUUAUAGAUGAGGUGUAAGAGGUUAAGAAGCAUUUACAAGGUCCCAUCCCAGUAAUUGGCUGAAAGAGCACUGAGACUCAGGUUCGUCUACCUUCAAAACUAUCUGUGCCCUCUCCUGAUGACCAUGCAAUGCUCUGUUAAAUAGCAUGAUGCACUACUGGUUAAAGACUUCUCAUGUGAAUAUUUUUUCGCUGAUUUAGGGUUACAAUAAUCCCAUAAAAUAGACUGUCGAUGUAAUAAAAAUUGCCAAUGUAGUCUGUACAUUUUAUAGCCUGAUGAAUAAAAGAAACCUCUCCUCUUCUACGUGAGCAGGAGAGUGGCUUGUUUGGGUAGGUCUCCUCUUGUGCCUGAUUCCCCAAAACUGUAGCCUCUAUGUUUCUAAUCUCUGCAGAAUUCCCUAGUCUGCUACUGUGGCAGGAAGAAGGCAUGGGAAAGACGCAGUCAUCGAUUAUGUGAGAAAAAGGAUUGAAAUGAGAGACACAACCUGUCAAAAUUUCUUCUUAACCACUAUGAAUGCCUCAACAUCGGUCAGAUGUUCUUUUGUGUGUUUCUCAAAAGUGUGCUUACUGAUUUUCUUUUCCAAUAAAUUUUAAUUUUUAAGUGGUACAUACAUAUAAUAAAAACUUAAAUAGGAAAAAAAAAAAAAAAGACACCUAAAGGGCGUGUAACAGGAAAAGUCUGUAUUCUCUCUGUUUCACCUCUCUCACUUUCUAGUUUCACUGUCCAGAGUGACAUUCAAUUCCUUUAGCUCAGUCCACUGAUGGUAAACCUCCAUAUCUCUAAAGAAUAUGCUUAGUAGGCUGGUACUUGACUUUUUAACUGCUGAUAUUACUUUCAUCCUAUUAUAAGAAGCAUGAUAUGAAGUAUUUCACAACUUUGGCUAAGUCAACAGAAUGUACUAUCAGUCACUGAUGAACUAAAUAAUGUCCCAGAAAAUUAGCACAUACUUUUGUAAAUUUUUUUUAAUAUAUAGUUUUCUUCUCCAUUCUGUUUUCUGUCUCUGGAAUGACUGUUUUUCAGAUUAAAUCUCUAAUAUCCUAUAUUCUUUCUCAAUUUUUUUAUCACUGUUAUUACAUAUUCUUAGAACUAUUCUGUUCUUUAGCUUCUGAGCUUUUCUACUUAUUAAUUUUUAUGUAUCAACUUUCAAGCACUAUUUUUUGAUCUCUAAUUAUGCCUCUUUAAAAGUAUGGAUUUUAUAAUUUAGUGGAAGCACUGUCUUCUCUAAUCUCUUGAGGAUACGGAUUAUAGGAUUUAUUUCCCUUUUGUGUGUGUACACGUGUCUCUGUGUCUGUAUAUUUGUUAUUUCUUUUGCUUUUAUAGCUCUCAAAUUCUGCAUUUUCUUUCAAUGUCUUGUGAUUUUUGUCCAUAAACUUAUUUUUUUAAUUUUUUAAUGUUUAUUUAUUUUUGAGAGAGAAACAGUGCCAGCAGGGGAGGGGCAGAGAGAGAGGGAGACACAGAAUCUGAAGCAGGCUCAGGUUCUGAGCUGUCAGCACACAGCCCGAUGCGGGGCUCGACCCCGUGAACUGCGAGAUCAUGACCUGAGCUGAAGUCAGACACUCAACUGACUGAGCCACUGAGGGUCCCCUAAACUUAUUUUCUAAGAGCAAGGCUUGAAAAAAUUGUUGAUUAGCUCUGUUUUUUUUUAAUUAAUUAAUUUAUUUUGAGAAAGAGAGAGCAGGGGAGGGGCAGAAAGAGAAAGAGACAGAGAGAGAGAGAGAGAGAGAGAGACAGAGAGAGAGACAGAGAAUCCCAAGCAGGCUCUGCAGUGUCAGUGAGGGGCUUGAAUCCAUGAACUGUGAGAUCAUGACCUGAGCUGAAACCAAGAGUUGGACGCUUCACCGAAUGAGCCACCCGGGGAACCCCAAGAAGCUCUGUUUAGGAGGAGACGACUUGUCAGUUAUUGGCACCACCAGAGCACAGGUCAGUUUAGCUUUUCACUAGGUAUGUCCAAACAUCAGUAUCCAGAGGACUUUCGGACAGGAAUCUGCUGAGAAGUCCUUAUCCAUCUCCUAUGACAGGCAACGCAGGGCGAACAGGGUGCAGGAGGACCAACUUGUGUGCAAGCAUUCUGAAGUAGGUCCAGAGAAAAGAGUUGAGAAUUCCAUAAUCCUCCAUUUGCGUUUCCUUUUUUCCCCUACUUUAUUUUGUUCACCCCAAUUCUCUACUGUGUUUUGUGUCCCCCACAUCCAGAGAUUCUAUUCAAAUGAUCCACAAAAGAGCACCCAGCCUCCUGAGGGGGUGAGGGUGGAUGAUUUUCUAGAAAAACAGAAAUUAGGAUAUUGAUCUCACAAAAUUGGAAAAAUUUAAUAAUCUGUUUACCAUAAAGUAAAUAUUAUUUCUAUUUUAAAAACAUAAUUUAUUUUCAAUUGCACAAAUAUUAUAUUAAUCUAUUCUCUUUUGACCACAUUUGACCAAUACAAAUAAAAUCUUUUUCCGCUACAAUCAACUUCAAUCUCCUUCUCUCUUCUUAAUAAUAAAGUAUUACUAAUUUAAUACGUGUGCUUCAGUGACCUAUAGUCUGUGUACGAAAACUGAUUCUCAAUAUUUUUAUUAUAAUUUAUGUUCACGUUUCUUUAUUGUGGUGGUUCUCCAAGUGUUGUGCCCUGAUCAGCAGCAGUAGCAUCGUAUGUGAGGCUGCUAGACAUGCACAUUCAUGGGGCUAAAAUUAACAACUCGGGAAACAACAGAUGUUGGUGAGGAUGCAGAGAGGUUGUUACACUGUUGGUGGGAAUGCAAACUGGUGCAGCCACUCUGGAGAACAGUAAGGAAGUUCAUCAAAAAAUUAAAAAUAGAGAUAUCCUACGGCCCAGCAACUGAACUAAUAGGUAUUUAUCCAAAGGACAUAAAAAUGCUGAUUCGAAGGGGCACAUGCACCCCAGUGUUUAUAGCAGCCCUGUCAACAAUAGCCAAAGUAUGGGAAGAGCCCAAAUGUCCAUCGACGGAUGAAUGGAUAAAGAGGAAGUGGUAUUUGUAUACAAUGGAAUAUUACUUGGUAAUCCAAAAGAAUGCAAUCUUGCCAUUUGCAACAAUGUGGAUGGAACUAGAGUGUAUUAGGCUAAUCGAAAUAAGUCAGACAGAGAAAGACAAAUAUCGUAUGAUUUCACUCUUCUGUGGAACUUAAGAAAUGCAACAGUUGAACAUAGGGAAAGGGAAGGAAAAAUAAAAUUAGAACAGAAAGGGAGGCAAACCAUAAGAGACUCAUACAGAGAACAAACUGAGGGUUGCUGGAGAGGAGGUAUGUGUGGGGAUGGGCUAAAAUGGGUGAUGGGCAUUAAGGAGGGCACUUGUUGGGAUGAGCACUGGGUGUUAUAUGUAAGUGAUGAACCACUAAAUGCUACUUCUGAAACCAAUACUAUACUAUAUGUUAACUAACUGGAAUUUAAAUAAAAAAACAAAUGCACAUUCAUGGGCUCUACUCCAGAUCUACGACUGAAUCAGAAGCUCUGGCAAUGGGGAUUAGCAAUCUGACGUGCUCUGAAGUUCAAGAACCACGGAUCCUGAGAAUUCACAGUGAUGAUGGUAAAGACAGAUUAUGAAAAUUGGUCCAGAAGUCCAGUGUUAGACAAUGUUCAGAGAUGACAGAACAUGAUGUUUCCUGUCUCUUCGAAUACUUUUCAUGAAUACUUUUCAUGGUAGGUCAACGAAUAAUGAUAAUAGAAUUUAGAUCAUAGAGAACUUAAUCCUGGUCUUAUUGUUGAAUUCAGGGAAGAGAAAAUACUUAGAUUCCUCCGGCCCUCCCACUCUCCUAAAAAAUCUAGGGAAGCAGCAGGGUUAUUAGAGAUGACGGCAGUGGUGACACCCUUUUUCAAUGCUUAAUAAAAGCUGGACAGAAGCAAACGCUUUCUAUCACCAUCUCUUACCAAGCAGAGAAUAAGAUUACAUUUCUGGCUGUUUCAGUUCAGUUACACAUCAAAACUGUAUUUCCCUUUACACACUAGUAAAAACUUCAGAUUAAGAAUUUGGAGAAUCAGAUGCUUGCAGGGACUGGGCUGUUUCUUAAGCUGUGCACCAUUGGGAAAAUUACUUUUGCUCACUGGUCCCUAAUUUUUCCCAUGAGCAAAACAGAAAUUGGACUGUAUGACACUCUGUCAUCCCAAGAUCCUGAACACUGGUGAUACAAGGCAGAAGGAACUCUAAAACGAGAAGAUGCCUCCAGGAAAUUGGUUCCCGUCACCAAGUCAGAAAAACUCCAGAGCCUGGACAUUCCUUAUCUCAUCUCACUUUGGAGGACCUCAUGACUCAUGACUUAUCCUGCCUUUUCUUUCUUCUUCUACAACCUACCCAAGGCCAGCCUACAUCUCUCGGGUGGCACUCUGCUGCACACACCUGCCCCGGGAACACGUGCCGGGAAAGCAGCAGGUAGAGUGGUCCUUGCCAUGGAGGAGGGGCUGGAUUAGCGGGGGGCUCUGUGUGCUCCUGAUCAGUGAGCAGUGACAUGGCUGGGAGGCACUGGCCUGGUCAAAAGAAUGUUCUUUCACUUCUAGCCUGUUCUCAGCACGCUCCACAGAAUGUACUAUGCUGGCUAAGACUAAGAGUGUAGAUAACAUAGCCUCAAGCACAAUCCUAUCUCCUAAUUGGAAAAUUCCAGGACUGUAGGGGAAAGGUGAGGUGGUGGUGUUGAGCAUCAGGCGACAGGCAGCUUAACACACACAAUUUGAUUGAGAAAAAUGGAAUUAUUUUAUAGUCCAGUGGGGUCCGAAUUGUUAUUCUACUCAGAUCUUUAUUGCUUGGCCCUUGUUAAUUUAAUAAGCAAUCUGUAUCCCUAGUACAGAAAACAAAUAGGUUUUAUAAGAGAGGGUCUAAAACUGAAGUGGCAAUAACAUAACUGAGAACACAGUUUUAUUUAUUUUCCUCAGUGGCAGAUUGUAUUUUCUGUAAUUUCUGUGCAAACAAACCAAUAUGGUAUUCUUCUGAAGGGCAUAAUUGGAAUGACAAAACUGUGAAGUCUCCACUGACUGUACUACCAGGGAAAUGGACGCGGGGCCACAGUAAUUUAAUUUUACCAGGAGUUACUAUCGACUAGAUUACCACAAACACGAGGAAACUUCUGCAACACUUCUCACACACUUUGCCCCCAAAUAUUGCUUCUGCUUUGGAGAAAUUACUUUCCUAAAAUAGCACUUAAUUAAAAAACAUCUGUGUGUACGGUGAACAAUAACUACAUUAAUAUGAGUUAACCCUCUAAAGAAUAACUCUGGCAUCUUUUUCUUUGCAAAUGUCUCUGGGCGACGUGCCAGGAAAAUACAAUAAAAUUUACUAGCCUGAAAGUUGUGUCUUUCCUUUCCCUUUCUGUCUAUCCAUCAUCUAUGCCAUUCUUAAAAAAAAAAAUUCUUACGGUUUUACUCGAAAUUUGAGAACCUUGCUUUAUAAGGCAGAAAACUGCCUUAUAUUUUCAGUGUUACAGUUUGUUUCAAUGGCACGAUAUUACAGUCUCUUUGUAAAACCAUCAUCUUUCUUUGAAGUUGAUUCCAUACAUUUUCAAUGAUCUAUAUUUUACACAUACUGAUGCAAACCUUUCAUCACUACACCUCGCAGGGCUCUCAUCCCCGCCUUGUUGCACUUUGCAUGGUCUCUUCCUCUCUCUGAAUCAUAAGUCACGAGGAGGCAGGGCCAUUUCCAAAAUCAAUUCCUGGCAGAAGAGAAAGGGCCUCCAUGCAUCAGGAAACCAUUUCAAAGGUUAACAGUUUAUCCAAGGGCAUUAAUUAAACUUCUUUCAUAAAUAAAGGCUCAGUGCUGUCAAAAGGUGGAGUGCAUGAGGAGACAAUUCCAAGGCUAUAGCUUCCUUCACAAAAAAGAAAUGAAGCUCUUCUCAGACAAAGCCUAUUAAGCACAUUCACUUCCAGAUUGUUAGAUGUAACAAAUGAGCGGGAGAGACAGACAGCGGAAGAGCCCUUAAUUCAAGGAACAAAGGACACUUUCUAUGUUUUCUGGCAUUGUGGUCCCGUCUCUGAAAAAUUCCAAGAGCACCAAAGAAGGGGAUAAUUAAGCAAUGAUUAAUACCAAACCAAAGAUGACUCUUGAGGUUCAUUUGAUAUCAAUUUCCUUCAGGGAGAGUAUCUGCUUAUUCCUUAUAGCACUGAUCCCCAUCUAUAAGAUUAAAAAUUACACAGCCCUUAUUAAACAGUUUAAAAGAAGUGGAGAAUUUUCUUCCCUAAGCUUUGACUGAUGAGAUUCUCUGCCAAUUUAUAAAAUAAGAAAAAUGGAAAAAUUACAGAAUAAACCAUCAUAGUCACUUUUGUUAGUGAAUUUUUAUUUUUAGGUUCAUUUUCAGCAUUGGGCAAAAUAACAUCAAGGGCAAGGAAAUAAACAGCCUGACUUUUGUUGUCACAUGGGUACCAAGCCAUAUCAAGAUGAAGUGCAGGCAUUAGAAAAUUGUAAGUGAAUACUGGGCAAACAGACCCAGAGCAGCUUAGCCACUACUAGGCACGUAUUUCUUCGAUGUGAGUGAGAGACAUUGUUAUGGAUUACACAGAAAGUAGAUAAUGCGGAAAGAAAAAUCAGUUUAAAAUAUAUUUAAUAAAGGGGCACCUGGGUGGCUCAGUAAAACAUCCAACUCUUGAUUUUGGCUCAGGCCAUGAUCUCACGGUUCAUGAGUUCGAGCCCAGAUUUCGAGUCCCUGUUGGACUCUGUGCUGGCCGUGCAUAGCCUGCUUGGGAUUCUCUCUCUCUGCCCCUACCCCACUUGUUAUCCCUCUUUCUCUCUCUCUCAAAAUAAAUAAAUAAACUUUAAAAAAUGUUUAAUAAAAGUUCAAAAGAUAGUUUAAGAGGUCUUUUUUUUUUUUUUUGUAUAGAAAUUCAACUGAGUUUUAAGUGGAGACAUCAUAGCUGCUAAAUCUUUCAAAGCUAAUUGACACAAAGGGAUAAAGUAUAAUCAAUCCCUAAGCUUCAGCUUCAGGUUUUUAUUUUUGGUCAGAAGAACUCUUUCCAGGCAUCCAUUUGCAGUGGCUAGACAUUUUCCCUUUCUCUUGAAGACCCAAAUAGUUAAGGGCAGAAAAGCAAAUAAGGUGGAUUGUUUUUAAGGUGGACAAUGUCAGGGAUGGCCAGGCCUGGAUACUGGCUAAGUGGAUAAAGGCAAGGGAGACGCACCAAACGUCUGACCACUACUAGGUACAGGGGAUGGUACCACCCAGAAUCUAAAGCACCAGAGGCAGGGUUAGGGCCCAAGGUGCAGAGGAAUCAAGAAGAGAUGGGGAAUACCUCCCAGGACACAGAGACGUGCUUUGUUCCAUUCUGAGAGUAGAUUUUCUGACUGAGACAGAAUUGGCUUAAGAAACCAUAACUAGGACACACUAAAGAUUCAGCUACUUUAUUUUUUCUAAAUAUUUAUUUAUUGAGGGUGGGGGAAAGGGAGAGAGAGAGAGAGAAUCCUGAGCAGGCUCCACACUGUCAGCUUGGAGACCAACAAAUGACUCGACCUCACAAACUGUGAGACUAUGACCUGAGCCCAAACCAAGAGCUGGACACUUAGCUAACUGAGCCACCCAGGAACCCCAAGAUUCCCCCAUUUUAAAUCACGUGAUAUCCAAAUCUUCUCAUCAUAUAAAGAGAGGUUGGUAUAUUCUAUGUAGGGAACCAUACUAUAAUAGCAGGGAGUAUCUCAUUCAAAACUAAUCAGGGAAUCAAAACCCAGGGAGAAAGGGAGAUUUGGAGCCUUGCAGGGCCCUGGAAUUCACAGCCCAGAGACUAGAAUUGUGGAGACAUGGAAAUCAGAUGAGGGAUCCAAGAAUUCCAGAAUUGGAAUACAUGAAAAUAAAAAUCCCACAAAAUAGAUGAAUCUGACAAUUUUCAUCAAAAGAAGAUACAAAUACAUAAUAUUAUGAAUGAAAAGGGGCCCACACUACAAAUAGAAACUAAAAAGAUAAUGAGAACACUACCAAUAACUACGUUCCUAUAAUUUUGGAAUCUGAGAUGAAACAGAAAAAAUGUAAGGGAGAAUAUAUAUACAUGCAGACAUGAUUUCAAGAGGGUUAAAAGCUCAAGUAAUCUGUAGGUAUUAGAGAAGUUAGUCUGUAAAUCUUCAAAUAAAACAGCUAAAUAAAAAUAAAAAUAAAGAUACUGAAAUAAAACAGCAGAGCCAGGAGUUUUACAGAUGAAUUUUACCAAAUGUUCAAAAUGCAGACUAUUCUUUUUUUUUUUUUAAUUUAAGAAACUCUUUCUAAUGGUCAGAAAAGAGGGAAUAUCUAACUUAUUCCACAAGAGAAGUAUAAUCCUUAUAUCAAAAGCCAAAUAAGGCAUGUAAAAGGAUACUACACAUCAAUUUUACUCUUUAAAAUAUAUGUAAAAAUCCUAAAAAUAAUAGAGAUUUAAAAAACUAGAAAAUCAAAUCCAAUAUAUAUUUGGAAAGAGAAUAUACCAAGACAAGAUUGGGUUUACCCUAAAUAUAUAAAGAGGAAUUAUCUUUAAAAAAAUGUUCUUCGGUUAGAAUAUUGUAUACUAAGCUGGAUCCCCAUAACUGCUCUUAAAGGCAAGACUUUUUUCUUCUUUUUUUUUGGUAAAUUAUUGUAUUCCUAGUCCUCAAAACAGAUCUAUACCCAUAGCAGAUAGAUUAAUAAACUAAUUAUUGUGCUUGUUAAAGUGAAUGACAAAGGGUAUACAAUCUCAUACACUAUACAUUGAUAAAAUACACACCAUAUGUUAUCAUAUGAUAUGUAUGCAUUUUAAGUAAAGUAAUGGAAGUAUGUGUAACAUAAAGAAUAAAAGUAACUGAAGACUUAGGCAAAGGUGAACUAUGUAUAAGAAAGUAAAAAGAUAGCUUCUAAAACGGUCCCAAAUCCCUCACCUUUUCGUAUUCAUGCUUUUGUACAGUUCUCUUCCCUAGAAUAUAAGCUAGACCUAGUGACCUCCAUCAAAUGAACAGAAUACCCCAGCAGUGAUGGAACAUCACUUCCAAGAUCAGGUUACAAAAAGACAUUGACUUACAUUCUAUUCCCUCUCUAUUGCUUUCUCAGUUGCUUGCUCAAACUGCCAUGCAGUGAGCCAUCCUAUGAAAAGGGCCCUUUGGCAAGCAGUCAGAAACUAUGGAACACAAACCAGCAACUAUGGAAUACAAUCCAGCAAACUGUGAUGUGCUGAAUCCUGUCAGCAAUCAUGUGAGUGAGUUUGGAAGAUCUUCCUUUUGACAAGCUUUCAGAUGAGAAUACAGCCCAGGCCAAAAUCUGAUCACAAACUAUGAGGUCCUGGGGCAGAAGCACCCAGCAAAGCUGUAUCCACAGAAAUUGUGAGAAAAUAAAUGUUUGUUGCUUUUAAACGCUAACAUUUUGGGUAAUUUGUUAUGCAGCAAUAGCUAACUAAUACAGUUGGG